rnacentral:lncRNA from 1 species
GUGGCCGAGCCGACCACACGGCCACACCAGCGUGUUCCUCGUUGCUCUGACACUCGCCCGGCGCCACUCGCACCACGCGCCACAUACGCGGCCUGUCCUCUCCCCUCCCCCCUAACCCUCCCCUCUCUACAACACCCCUUCCUUUUUCUCUCUCCCCCUGUCUCUCUCUCUCUCACUCACUCACUCGCACUCGGCACCGCGGAGUCUCUGGCGCCAAGGAUAACCUGGCUCCUGACGUCCCCCUUCACGUGGCCCGACCUGUGGUGGCUCCCCGCCCAAGGACUGGAUUAAGGACUAUGACAUGAUCACACGUGGGAUGCGUUGGUUAUUUUUGUAGUAAUUGAUGGAAGCAGGCGAGUUCGUAAGGCAAAGUCCCUCGUGAAAGAGUUGCGAAAUUGUUUGUGCAGUGGCGAGGGAACCCGAGAAAGUGUGCGACCUCGCGGGCAGGACCUUCGGCAGGUGAGCGCCAAAGAAGGAAGGAGGCAGCGGAAGGCCCAGCAGAAGGAAGGAGAAGAAGGAAGAGGAUCCCGGAGGAGGAGGAGGAGAAGAAGGACGACGACGAGGAGGAGGAGGAGGAGGAGCAGGAGGUCAGCGGGAUGAAGGGUGGCCAUGGUGGCGGUGGGCGUGGGUAGUGGGCGGCAUGGAGUCUUGUGUGUCGCAGCACUACGUUACCCCGGGCGCCACCUCCCUGCCCAUGGGCGAAUACGUCCAGGUGCCUCCCGACAUGGGCGGCCACCCGUGCACCCCCGCGAUGAGCUCGUACCUCGAGUCGCUGCCCCCGGGCGUGGGCAUGCCGGAGUACCCUUGGAUGAAGGAAAAGAAGACGGUGAGGAAGCCAGCCCAGCAAGGGCGAUACCUGCAAGGUAUGCCCACUCCACCCGGAGCCACGAUCAACUGCCCUACCGUUGCCACAGAGCAUCCUAUCAAAUCUUGUAAGUAGUUCCUAUUCUCUUCGUUGUAAUUAAUAUUUCUCAUAUUAGUUACUAUGAAUUGAUGAAUAUUUCCCCCCCUUUUAGUCAUUUCUUUCACGUAGGUACGUAGUGACAUGACGCAUUUCUUUCGCCAUGAGAAUAGCCUAACCUCAUCGUCGGCUUUACAAUGGGUCUCGUUAAUCACCAUUGUGACGGCUUUAAUCCACUCUCAUGACUAUUACAUGAUUUCGCAAUUAACACAUCGCAACUCGUUAGUGGCCAUCAGCGACCUCGAAGAUCCA